rnacentral:rRNA from 1 species
GACGAACGCUGGCGGCGUGCCUAAUACAUGCAAGUCGAACGCAGUGGGGACGGGUGAGUAACACGUGGGUAACCUCCCAUCAGAGGGGAUAACACUUGGAAACAGGUGCUAAACCCAUACUGAUUGAUGUACCCGCGGUGCAUUAGCUAGUUGGUGAGGUAACGGCGCACCAAGGCCACGAUGCAUAGCCGGCCUGAGAGGUUGAUCGGCCACACUGGGACUGAGAAACGGCCCAGACUCCUACGGUAGGCAGCAGUAGGGAAUCUUCGGCAAUGGACGAAAGUCUGACCGAGCAAUGCAGCGUGUGUGAAGAAGGUUUUCGGAUCGUAAAACUCUGUUGUUUGAGAGGCGUUAUCUAAACAGAAAGCCACGGCUAACUACGUGCCAGCAGCCGCGGUAAUAC